GAUGAAGAACGUAGUGAAAUGCGAUAAGUAAUGUGAAUUGCAGAAUUCAGUGAAUCAUCGAAUCUUUGAACGCACAUUGCGCCCCUUGGUAUUCCGAGGGGCAUGCCUGUUCGAGCGUCAUAUUAACCACUCCCGCUUGCGGGGUCUUGGGCUUCGCCUCCGGGCGGGCCUUAAAAUCAGUGGCGGUGCCGUCGGGCUCUACGCGUAGUAAAUUUUCUCGCGAUAGGGUUCCGGUGGAUGCUUGCCAACAACCCCCAACUUCUUAAGGUUGACCUCGGAUCAGGUAGGGAUACCCGCUGAACUUAAGCAUAUCAAUAAGCGGAGGA
rnacentral:misc_RNA from 1 species